rnacentral:tRNA from 1 species
AGAAAAGGGUCAGAAUCGCUUCAAUGGGAGAGCACAGGACUGAAAAUC